rnacentral:misc_RNA from 1 species
GGAAGGAUCAUUAUUGAAUAAACCUGAUGGGUUGUUGCUGGCUCUCUAGAGAGCAUGUGCACGCCUUGUCAUCUUUAAAUCUCCACCUGUGCACCUUUUGUAGACCUUUUCAGGUCUAUGUUGUCUCAUUUACCCCAAUGUAUGUUAAUAGAAUGUUGUGACUAUAUAAUAUAUACAACUUUCAGCAACGGAUCUCUUGGCUCUCGCAUCGAUGAAGAACGCAGCGAAAUGCGAUAAGUAAUGUGAAUUGCAGAAUUCAGUGAAUCAUCGAAUCUUUGAACGCACCUUGCGCUCCUUGGUAUUCCGAGGAGCAUGCCUGUUUGAGUGUCAUUAAUAUAUAUAUCA